rfam:Aeromicrobium choanae strain 9H-4 genome assembly, chromosome: I
CCUCCGCGGUGGGGCGCGAUGCCCGCCUGAGGGGUUCUGACGUCACUUCCCCGGCGUCAGAACUCUGCAGGCGGGGAUCGGGCCCCAUCGCCCUGCCGGC